rnacentral:rRNA from 1 species
UCUAGCCAUGUGAGUCAUUGUAGCAAUACAAGGCAUACGGCUCAGUAACACGUAGUCAAUCUAACCUAUGGACGUGGAUAACCUCGGGAAACUGAGAAUAAUCCGCGAUAGAUCAUUAAUCCUGGAACGGUUUAUGGUCGAAAAGAUUCGUCGCCGUAGGAUGGGACUGCGGCCUAUCAGCUUGUUGGUGAGGUAAUGGCCCACCAAGGCUAUUACAGGUACGGGCUCUGAGAGGAGAAGCCCGGAGAUGGGUACUGAGACACGGACCCAGGCCCUAUGGGGCGCAGCAGGCGAGAAACCUUUGCAAUGUGCGCAAGCACGACAAGGUUAAUCCGAGUGUUUCCUGCUAAAGGAAUCUUUUGUUAGUUCUAAAACCACUGAUGAAUAAGGGGUGGGCAAGUCUGGUGUCAGCCGCCGCGGUAAAACCAGCACCUCAAGUGGUCAGGAGGAUUAUUGGGCCUAAAGCAUCCGUAGCCGGUUCUAUAAGUUUCCGGUUAAAUCCACUAGCUCAACUAGUGGGCUGCCGGAAAUACUGUAGAACUAGGGAGUGGGAGAGGUAGACGGUACUCGGUAGGAAGGGGUAAAAUCCUUUGAUCUAUUGAUGACCACCUGUGGCGAAGGCGGUCUACCAGAACACGUUCGACGGUGAGGGAUGAAAGCUGGGGGAGCAAACCGGAUUAGAUACCCGGGUAGUCCCAGCUGUAAACGAUGCAGACUCGGUGAUGCACUGGCUUGUGGCCAGUGCAGUGCCGCAGGGAAGCCGUUAAGUUUGCCGCCUGGGAAGUACGUACGCAAGUAUGAAACUUAAAGGAAUUGGCGGGGGAGCACCACAAGGGGUGAAGCCUGCGGUUCAAUUGGAGUCAACGCCAGAAAUCUUACCCGAAGAGACAGCAGAAUGAAAGGUCAAGCCGGAGACUUUACCAGACAAGCUGAGAA